rnacentral:rRNA from 1 species
UACGGAGGGUGCAAGCGCUGUCCGGAUUUAUUGGGUUUAAAGGGUGCGGAGGUGGCCCGUUAAGUCCGGGGUGAAAGCCCACAGCUCAACUGUGGAACUGCCCUGGAUACUGGCGGGUUUGAGAGUCGUCGAGGGUUGCGGAAUGGACGGUGUAGCGGUGAAAUGCAUAGAUACCGUCCAGAACCCUAAUUGCGUAGGCAGCUGCCUAGGCGACAUCUGACACUGAGGCACGAAAGCGUGGGGAGCGAACAGG